rnacentral:rRNA from 1 species
AUGGCCUACUUCGAUGAGAAAGAGAAGGAAGAUCCAGAUUUCUUCUACAGGAUAAGAUUGGAUGAUGAGGACCGUGUCAGGAACAUGUAAUGGGUGGAUGGUGCUACAAGGAGAGCCUACAAACAUUUCCGAGAUUGCAUUUCAUUCGACGCGACGUAUCUGACUAAUAUGUACAAGAUGCCAUGCGCUCCGUUCAUAGGAAUAAAUAACCACAAUCAGUCGUUGCAGUUUGGCUGCGGGCUCGUUCGGAACAAAGACAUGGAUGGGUACGUUUGGAUGUUCAAAACCUUCUUGGAGUGCAUGGAUGGACUUGCUCCGAUGAACAUAAUAACAGACCAGGAUUUCAGCAUGCGUGCAGGCAUAGAGGAGGUAUUUCCGUUGGCAGUGCACAGGCAAUGCAGGUGGCACAUUAUAAAGAAGGCUGAAAAUACGCUAGGACCGUUCUUUGCUGACCGUCCAGAGCUCCACAAGGCGUUCGAGCUGUGCGUGGACCAUAGCUUGACGGUGGAGGAGUUUGAAAGGAGCUGGAUGGCCAUGACUGAAACAUAUCAAGUCCAAGACAACGAGACGCUUGCUAACCUCACUAGUAGAAAAAGGACCUAA